rnacentral:misc_RNA from 1 species
GAUGAAGAACGCAGCGAAAUGCGAUAAGUAAUGUGAAUUGCAGAAUUCAGUGAAUCAUCGAAUCUUUGAACGCACAUUGCGCCCGCCAGCAUUCUGGCGGGCAUGCCUGUUCGAGCAUCAUUUCAACCCUCGACUUCCCUUUGGGGAAAUCGGCGUUGGGGACCGGCUGUAUACCGCCGGCCCCGAAAUGAAGUGGCGGCCCGUCCGCGGCGACCUCUGCGUAGUAAUCCAACUCGCACCGGAACCCCGACGUGGCCACGCCGUAAAACCCCCGACUUCUGAACGUUGACCUCGGAUCAGGUAGGAAUACCCGCUGAACUUAAGCAUAUCAAUAAGCGGAGGA